rnacentral:rRNA from 1 species
AUUGAACGCUGGCGGCAUGCCUUACACAUGCAAGUCGAGCGGCAGCGCGGGGGCAACCCUGGCGGCGAGCGGCGGACGGGUGAGUAAUACAUCGGAACGUGUCCUGUCGUGGGGGAUAACCAGUCGAAAGACUGGCUAAUACCGCAUGAGAUCGAAAGAUGAAAGCGGGGGACCGCAAGGCCUCGCGCGAUUGGAGCGGCCGAUGCCGGAUUAGCUAGUUGGCGGGGUAAAAGCCCACCAAGGCUACGAUCCGUAGCUGGUUUGAGAGAACGACCAGCCACACUGGGACUGAGACACGGCCCAGACUCCUACGGGAGGCAGCAGUGGGGAAUUUUGGACAAUGGGCGCAAGCCUGAUCCAGCCAUGCCGCGUGUGUGAAGAAGGCCU